CACUUUUUCCCUUUUCUUGUAACUAUAGUUUCAGAGACGAGAGAUAUCUCUGCUAGGGUUUUUUCAAUAAUGCUCAUGUUCUUCUCCCAUCUUUGCAGCUACCACUGUCGCUAUUGCUGUCUUCACUCAGCACUGCCACCACCACUUCUACUGCUGCCACACCACACUUUCCGAUCCUCUGCGUUGUUGCGUUUUGUCUCUGCUCCUGCGAACUACUCAUGUUUCAUUUUACUUUAUUUGUUUUAAUGCUUUUUCUAUGGCAAUUCUUGUGAAUUUGGAGGUUUUUCUGUUGUCUUCGCACCACAGUUCUUAUUUUAUUUUAUCCCUCUGCCCUGCUUUUUUGCUUUUUCAAAAAGAAAUUGCGAUAAGUCACUGAAGCAAUUUUAAUUAUGUGAGACAUGAGUCCGAGAGAUACAUCAUGCAGAAUUGGUCUUUCUUUAUCAAUUAGAAGUUAAAUCUUGUUGUCUAUAUGAUUGUUAGACUUGAUUGAUUAAUUUUUAUUUUGUAAUGUGUUUGCAUAAAGAAUUAAUUGAUGGAACAUGUCCAUGAGAAUUGAAAAUCUUAUUCUCUUCUAGCAAAGAACUAUCUUAAUUAAUUUUGGAUUUUUUUCAUAGCAUCUACUUUUAGUUAUAUACUAUCAAAUGUACUUCCUGUCAUCCUAAUGUAGCAGAGUUGUAUUCAGUAUUCAGUUUUAGUAAGGAAGAAAAUAGGCUUCAUCAGUUGUGAGCAAGGAGAAUAGGCACUGUUUAUCCUCUGCAUUCCUAAUUCACUGUUUGUUAUUUAAGUGAAUUUGAAAGUUCUUGCUCUAGCAGGAUCCAACAAUAAUCUUUAUAAAAUUAUUUGGCAGAGUAUGCUUUUUGAGAAGUGUGCAAAUGUGUAAUUUUGAUUGGCAAUAAAUUUAUUUAUGAGUUUAAUAGUUUUACUUGAAUGUUGUUUUGAUUUCAAAAGAAUUGUAUAGUAAACCAGUUUUCAAUUAAAAGUUUCCUGUCCUUAUAUGUCGGUGAUCAUAUAUUGCAUUUGUGAGAAUCAUGAUAGUUUGCACUACCUUUGGCUAUAGCUUUUCACAUAGAAUACGUACCACAACCAAAAGAAAGCUGUAAAUUUGAUGACAUGUAACAUGGUUAGAUUAGAUGUAUCCAUAUAUCUAGAAUGUGCACAACAAUAAUCCAUAUUUGUGUUCAUCGGUCAUCAAUCUUAAAUUUUAUACAUAAAAUACAGUGUAGAGUGAAAUAGAUACCUGAAUGAUUCCCUUGCUAUGGGUGAGACCAUGCAUUGAUUUAUGCCUCUCUCACCACUUUCUAAGUCUUCCCUUCUCUUAAUAUCUUCCUCAUCUUGGUAGAAUUGAUAAUCUUGAUACUUAAGAAGCACUAGGAGUCACAAUAUUAAAUCUAUUAGCAUAAAGUUGUGACGUAUAUAGUUUAAAUUUCUGAACAUUAACUUUUUGGUUUAGUUAUAGUCAUGCUAAUUGUGAAGUGCAACGGUUUACAAAGUUUCUGAUAAAAAACUUACCAAAAUUUCCUUAAUUCUCCUUUUGUUCUUCAAUCAUCUAGCAUUUUUAUUUUUUGUGCAAUAUUUGAAAUUUUCUACACACCUCAGUGUUCUUAUCUUUCUCCCAAUCAUUGCUGCAGAGAAAGACAUCAAAACUACUGCUUUUGAUAAUUCUCAAUGACACAGUGGAUCCUUUUAUGGUGUUGAUAACUCUAGUUAUAAUAGAACUUACUAUCAGGAGUCAAUAUAUGCUCAAGCACCGCAUGGAAUUUCUGGUGUUCAAUAUUUUGAAAACUAUCAACAACAAUUUGAUCCUAGAUAUGGAAGAGGAUAUGGUGUUCUUACACCACACCAGCAAUCUCAACAGCCUAAUUUUAUUUGUCCCACCACAGACUGCUCAGAUUGUGAGGGAGACCAAAUGUUAUUGAAUGCAUUUUUGACUUCUUUGGUACCACUAUCUUUUGUCAAAUUUGGUUUGAAGCAUUAGAAGAUUUCAUAGAGUGAUCAUUGCCUCGGCAUUUACAGGAUUUUCUGGUUUUGAAGUAUGGAAGCAAAAAAGGAAAGAAGUUUUGUAUCUUUAUAAGUGCAAGAUGAAAGCAAGAGUUAUUAUUGAACCAACAAUAGAUAAUUGUAUUCUAAAUAUAAAGCUCUAGAGUAUUUCAAGUAAAACGGUCUAGAAAAAUAAGUUUAUUCAUAAUUGCUUUAUGAAUUUGAAGUUGACUGGCACAGAAUGACUUUUACUAUGUUGGUUGCCUAAAAUUGAAAGUGGUCGAAAUGCUCUAGGCAUUGAAGUAGCAGGGAAGGGUGCAAUUAGUUUUGAAAAAUUGGAGUAAUAUCUUGGUGUAAUAAUUGUGUGACUAUAUUUUAUGAUUGAUAUUGUACUUUGUAAUUUUAUAUGAU